GUUUAGUGUUGUGUUGUGACAGACGCUCUGUUUUGACGUGACGAGGAAAGGUUGAGUGUUCAAUGCGACACGUAAAUUCUGUAACACAGAUGCAGUGGGAGAAUGGCUGGCAAAUCAAGUGCAUGCAAAGUUCAGAAUGUGGCUAUCUACCCAUGCACUGAGGUGAGUGAUGGUUCUCAGAAAUGUUUGGAUGCAUAGUGCAUGUGUUCUGCAUACUUCAUGAGAGAAUGUACUGGGUAAGUAUACAGACACUAAGACUCAUGAGAAAUAAUUUACUAAUUUACUAAUCUGAUAUUUCAUAACCAUAUUCUGUAGAGAAAUGUACCAUGUUGAAGUGAGAGAAAAAAAAGGCAUACAAUUGCAUGGGACUCUCCAAAAUGUAGGAUUCUUAAAUUUGUUUAAUUAUGUUUGUGAAUUCCCGGGUUUACCAUAGAUUUCUGCUUCUGGGUAAAGAUAGUUAAAGCCUAAACCAUGAAGAUCUGGGCCCAGCAUAACAUAAUCAUAAUGCCAGGUAACUUUAACAUAGAUGUUGAUUCUGAUUGUAAUACUGCUGCAAAAUACUUUUUGUCUGUUUUGUAUUAUCUCGAUGUAUCACAAAAUAUAGAUUUUCCAAUGCAUUCACAUUUUCAUAUUCGUAAUUUGCUUUGCAUUAUUGGUAUUAACAAUAUUGGUGCUCAGGGUCAUGAAUUGGGCAUCUCUGAUCAUAAACUUAUUGUCUUUGGUUUUCCUCUCCCAAUUGUAAAACCAAAAACUAAAACUACUAUAUCUUACUAUAACCGGAAAUAUGUAACCACUGACAUUUUUUUUCUGUUGCUAUUGCUGCCUCCACUCUCUCAUCCACAUUCCACCUCCUGAGCACUGAUGAGAUAUUCUCAACCUAAAAUUAAACUAUUUGUAAUAUUUUGGAUGACCUUGGUCCACUAAAAACUAGAAAAGUCCCUCCUGCUCACUCCUCUCCUUGGUUCACAUUUUAACCUAGAGUAAUGAAAGCUGAAUGUAGGCGUCUAGAACGACUAUAAAAAAAUUGUAGUGUAUGCUAUUGCUUUUUCAGAUUCAGUAAUGAAAUAUAAAGAAGCACUUAACACUGCACGCUCUACAUCUCUCUCCACUGUCAUUAAUUAAGCCAAGUGCAAACCUAAAGCUCUUUUCUCUGAGAUCAACAAACUUGUUAAACCACCGUCCGUAGCAAUUAAUGGCUUUGUUAAUAUUUAUGGAAGCUUUCAGUCUGUUUUCCUACGUAAAAUUUAUAACAAUUACCAAGACUUUUCUCCAUUGGUCUCUCCCCACCUUUCUCUAUGUCUGAUAGGUCACCCAGUCAACACUUUCUUACCCAUGCAUAUAUCUGCGAUUGAACUACUGAUUAUCAAAUCUAACUCUGCCUGCUACACACUUGAUCCUAUUCCAACAUCCUUACUCAAAACCCUUUUGCGUUCACUCGUCCAAUCUAUUACUCCUAUUAUAAACUGAUCCCUUGUCACUGUUUAUGUUCCACAAGACCUAAAAGUAGCUCCCAUCAAUCCUUUAGAAACCUGGUCUUUGACAACACAUAUCUGAACAAUUUCAGACUAAUAUCAAACCUCCCAUUUGUUGCUAAAAUACUUGAAAGUAGUUGCACCACAACUGCAGUCUCAUUUAGAGGAACAUUUAUGAGCGGUUUCAAUCUGGUUUCUGUCCCUCUCACAGCACAGAAACAGCACUUAACAGCAACAGUGUUUAAUGAUCUCCUUCUGGUUUCUGAUUCAGGUGUCCACAGUAUCCUUGUCCUCCUUGAUCUGAGUUCAGCCUUUGAUACCAUUUGCCACUCUGUACUUCUUUUUUAUUAUCUUCUAUGUAUCACUGGUUCUGCUCUUCAGUGGCUAACUUCAUAUUUAUCAGAUAGACAGGAAUUUGUUAGGAUCGAUAAGAAUCUCGCACUGUCACUAUUUCCCUUGGUGUCCCCCAAGGUUCUGUACUUGCUACACGUUUUUCUCAUUUAUGUGCUGCCACUGGUUCAGAUCAUCAGACGUCAUGGACUCAAUUUUCAUAGUUACGCUCAUGACAUUCAAAUCUAUUUUACAGUUCAACCCAACUCAUUUUGUCCACUCCUUUCUAUCGUUUCCUGUCUUCAAGAACUUGAAACCUGGAUGUCAGAUAGCUUUUUUACAACUAAAUGCAGACAAAACUGAAAUCCUACUAGUUGGCCGUAAAUCACAGAGCUCCUCCCAGCACGACAUUUUCAUAAAUAUUGAUUGUGUCCAGAUUAGGCCAUCAAUAACUGUGAGAACUUUGGGAGUAUUGUAUGACUGAUUCAAAUAUUGGUCAGAUUGUUAAAUCAUGCUUUUACCAAUUGUGGAAUAUUGUUCGUAUAUUCCCUCCCUUCAUUUUGGAGAUGAUACAACUAUCAUUCAUGCGUUUAUAACCUCCAGAUUUGAUUACUGUAACUCCUUCUGUAGUGGCUUACCUGCCAAAGAUAUUAAUCACCUCCAAAUGGUACAAAACUCUACUGCUUGAGCCCUUUAAUUUAACCCAGUGUUUGGGUUGUUUUGCAGCUCCUGGGUCAGACAUAACCCAAUGUUUGGCUAGUUUUUGUGUUACUCAGAUCCUGGGUCAGACGUAACCCAGCAGAUGAGUUAUUUAUCAUGGGGAUUUUGCAUCUCAUGAGAUUGCAGUUCUAAGCGCCAUCGCAUUUAUGCAUUUUUCGGUAAAAUACAGGUAUGUGUACUUUUUAUUUUAUCUAUAAAAUCGUUACCAUGCUGUAUAUAAUUCAGUUUUAUGCAUGGAAACAUACAGGCGCACGUGGGGAAUCACUUUUAACAAGUAUCACUGUCUUUUUGCGUGGUGGAAAAGCCUGAUGCUUUACAUAAAAUAAAAUAUUUUAUUUAUACUACUUAUAAUACUUUGGAUGUUAAAACAUGUUAAGCUGUUUAUUGUUCGGUAUUUUUGCAGGUUAUGGAGUCACAGCAUGUUUUGUCUAUGUGAAAUGCAGGGUGGGAGUCUGUUAGCAGUUCCCCGCCGAACACUACUCCAACUUGGGCAAGAGAACCAAUGUCAUUAAAGUGAAAACAGAAUAACCAAGGCUGGUGGAUUACACGUGGAUUACUUCUUUUUAAUGUUGGAUUUUUCUUCUAAUGUUUGUUAAAUGAGUUUAAAUAUAGAACAAUAUGUGUAGCCUAUUAAAAAUUAUAUAAACAAUGCCUUUAAAUGAUACAUAAAGGAAGUUAUCAUACAAACCAGAGGUUGUGUGGAGUAUUUUAGAAAAGUUCAGUGGAUUUAAGUUAAUCUGUAAACAUUAAUGUGUGUACAAAAAAAAAAUGUUUUUUAAUAUAGUAAAAAUGAAUAAACCCAUUAACUUAUGCCGGGUUAAAAAACCCAAUUUGCUGGGUAUAUGUAACCCAAGAUGGGUUCUUUUCUAUAUUUAUCCAAAUUGGAUUGUUUUUAACCCAGUGUUUUUUAGUGUAUGAUGGGUUGUAGCACUUUCUGUAUUAUCGCCCUAAACUGUGGAAUAAGCUGCCCCAUAAUAUUCGUGCUGCCUCCUCUCUUCAGACUUUUAAGUCUCAACUUAAAACUCAUCUAUUCACAUUUUUUCACUAAAUAGCUCAUGUACCCUCUGCUUCUCAACUUCUGUCUUUAUGACAAAUGACCACCUUCUUGACAUAAUUGAUGUUCAUCAUAUGAUUGCACAACCUCUUAUUAUUUAUCUGUAGUUCUUUGUUGUCAGUAUUUGCAUGUCUGAAUGGCCCCUCCAUUCAUUUUUUUUUUUUUUUUUUUUUUUUGGAGGCUCAGUUUGUAGUUAUAAGUUUCAAAGAAGGCAAUUAUAACAAUAAUAAAAGUAAAUAAUAAUAAUAAAUGCUUAUUUUAUUAGUUGCAAUGCAAAAUAGUUAAUGCGCUUAUCUAAUGCAGCCAACUGCAAUGAUAACACAACUGGUGAAAAAUUUAGAAAAUUUGGACACAGCAACAAGAGCUGAGUUUUCAUAUUGAGUGAUAUGAAAAAUAUAUCACGAUUAUGAUUUUGGCCAUGCCAUCCAGCCCGAUCACCAUCUGAUCUCCAUCCUACUGAGACCCAAUCCGAUACUUAAAUACAUUGCACACAUACAUUUAAGAGUAGUGAAAUCAUUCCAUCUUUUAAUCCUGACAAUCUAAUAACCUGCAUGUCAUUAAUAAAUCAUCUUAUUGUUGUUAUGUAACCUAAGCUAACUUAAUAUUAAAUAUUUUAAUUUGGCUUUUACCAUUUAAGCUUUUUUACUGCAAGACUAAACUAAACAAUGUCUUUAGAAAUGGCUCUUAUAUGUUACCUGGACAGUAUUGUAGAUUUAUGAAAUUCUCAUUAUAUUUUGAUCCACUUUACCAAAAGUGAAAGACCACCGUAUACGCUGUAAAUCAGAAAGAUAUCUACAACACUCUUUUGUUAUUUUGAGGAGUAUGAGCUCCCCUAGCUGAGAUUGGUUUAUCUCCAUUUUUCCUCUUACUCUUACCACAGUCACUUUGGCUUCACUGGGUUCUUGUUGAUAUAAACAUUACAUGUAUUUCACAUUCUCAGCAUGGUGUGAUGCUGCAGUGUAGGCGUGAUGGAGUAAAGCCUGAUAUGCCAACCACUGAGGAGUGACACAGAUCAUCACAGCCCUUGGAGGGAAGCCCUACUAACUGCACAGUGGCAGUUAGAACAUAAGUGUGUUUGGAAUCAAAAAGCAAAUUUCUUGCAGAGGACACACACUAUGAAUUUAUCCUUCUGGUUUUAUGAGUGUAUUUCAGUCCUGUGGGGAAAGGGAUUAAAUUUCAUCUUGCAUAAUUUCAGCAAUUAUGUAGUUGUAUAACAACUAAUGCUGUGAUUGUAUGUACCAUACUGUCAAAUGGCAGGCUAUUACAGCCUAAUUUAAUGUAUUCAAUUAUUAAAAAUGGAACACAUUUUUAAUAUGUGUGAGUGUUGUAUCAUAUCAGUUUUAUUUGUAUAUUGUUUUUCAUAAUACACUUUGCAUUAAAGCAGUUUUACAGAAAUUCAUAAUGUUAAUGAUUAAAUGUCCACAUUUAGCAGUUGAGAGAUGGGUGACAGGGAAUUUUACAUACGGCGAGGCUAUAAACAGUUAAGCAGUAAAGGUUUGUCAUUGUGCGUGUGUGUGUGUGUGUGUAAAUAACUA